GACGAACCGUCCAAACGUUGUUCGGAAUCACUGGGCUUAAAGGGCGCGUAGGCGGGUCGGCAAGUCCGGGGUGAAAGCCCCCAGCUCAACUGGGGAAGUGCCUUGGAAACUGCCGGUCUCGAGGGAGGUAGGGGCCUGUGGAACUUCGGGUGGAGCGGUGAAAUGCGUUGAUAUCAGGAGGAACACCGAUGGCGAAGGCAGGUCUCUGGGCUGACACUGACGCUCAUGCACGAAAGCGUGGGGAGCAAACAGG
rnacentral:rRNA from 1 species